rnacentral:tRNA from 1 species
GGCUCUGUAGUUCAGCGGAUAGAACACCGAAUUGACGAAAACGGAGGUCGUGGGUUCGAACCCCACCAGGGUCA